GACGAACGCUGGCGGCGUGCUUAACACAUGCAAGUCGAACGGAAAGGCCCUGCUUUUGUGGGGUGCUCGAGUGGAGAACGGGUGAGUAACACGUGAGUAACCUGCCCUUGACUUUGGGAUAACUUCAGGAAACUGGGGCUAAUACCGGAUAGGAGCUCCUGUUGCAUGGUGGGGGUUGGAAAGUUUCGGCGGUUGGGGAUGGACUCGCGGCUUAUCAGCUUGUUGGUGGGGUAGUGGCUUACCAAGGCUUUGACGGGUAGCCGGCCUGAGAGGGUGACCGGCCACAUUGGGACUGAGAUACGGCCCAGACUCCUACGGGAGGCAGCAGUGGGGAAUAUUGCACAAUGGGCGGAAGCCUGAUGCAGCAACGCCGCGUGCGGGAUGACGGCCUUCGGGUUGUAAACCGCUUUCGCCUGUGACGAAGCGUGAGUGACGGUAAUGGGUAAAGAAGCACCGGCUAACUACGUG
rnacentral:rRNA from 1 species